GUGCCUAAUACAUGCAAGUUGAGCGCUGAAGGUUGGUACUUGUACCGACUGGAUGAGCAGCGAACGGGUGAGUAACGCGUGGGGAAUCUGCCUUUGAGCGGGGGACAACAUUUGGAAACGAAUGCUAAUACCGCAUAACAACUUUAAACACAAGUCUUAAGUUUGAAAGAUGCAAUUGCAUCACUCAGAGAUGAUCCCGCGUUGUAUUAGCUAGUUGGUGAGGUAAAGGCUCACCAAGGCGAUGAUACAUAGCCGACCUGAGAGGGUGAUCGGCCACAUUGGGACUGAGACACGGCCCAAACUCCUACGGGAGGCAGCAGUAGGGAAUCUUCGGCAAUGGACGAAAGUCUGACCGAGCAACGCCGCGUGAGUGAAGAAGGUUUUCGGAUCGUAAAACUCUGUUGGUAGAGAAGAACGUUGGUGAGAGUGGAAAGCUCAUCAAGUGACGGUAACUACCCAGAAAGGGACGGCUAACUACGUGCCAGCAGCCGCGGUAAUACGUAGGUCCCGAGCGUUGUCCGGAUUUAUUGGGCGUAAAGCGAGCGCAGGUGGUUUAUUAAGUCUGGUGUAAAAGGCAGUGGCUCAACCAUUGUAUGCAUUGGAAACUGGUAGACUUGAGUGCAGGAGAGGAGAGUGGAAUUCCAUGUGUAGCGGUGAAAUGCGUAGAUAUAUGGAGGAACACCGGUGGCGAAAGCGGCUCUCUGGCCUGUAACUGACACUGAGGCUCGAAAGCGUGGGGAGCAAACAGGAUUAGAUACCCUGGUAGUCCACGCCGUAAACGAUGAGUGCUAGAUGUAGGGAGCUAUAAGUUCUCUGUAUCGCAGCUAACGCAAUAAGCACUCCGCCUGGGGAGUACGACCGCAAGGUUGAAACUCAAAGGAAUUGACGG
rnacentral:rRNA from 1 species